rnacentral:rRNA from 1 species
CCCUUAGAUGUCCUGGGCCGCACGCGCGCUACACUGACAUGUUCAACAAGCCUCCUAGUUCGACAGGAUUUGGGAAAUCUUUGAACGCAUGUCGUGAUAGGGAUAGAUCAUUGCAAUUAUUGAUCUUGAACGAGGAAUGCCUAGUAGGCGCAAGUCAUCAGCUUGCGUCGAUUACGUCCCUGCCCUUUGUACACACCGCCCGUCGCUCCUACCGAUUGGGUGUGCUGGUGAAAUGUUCGGAUCGGCCGUUUGUCGCGGUUUCCGCGUCAUGUGGCUGAGAAGUUCAUUAAACCCUCCCACCUAGAGGAAGGAGAAGUCGUAACA